CAUUGAAGAUGUGUGAGGAAAAUGUUUUAUUCACUGUAGAAUUUCAUGUUUUUUUUAUGACAUAUAUUACAUAUACGUAGACUCAUCCAGCUGUUGCAUUGACAAUGAUUGAAGGGAGAAAGCUGGUAUUGGCAACGGAGAUGUAACACUAUUUUUUGCUACUUAAAUUGCUAAGGGGCACAAAAGCACAGAGUUAUUUAUUAUUGGAAAUAUAACUUUGAUUAAAUGGUCAUUUACAGAGCAUAUUUUAUUUGAAUGAUGUAGUAUGUUGUGACUGUGUUAGGAUGGAUGGGAAUAUUAUGAUGGAAUAGACAUUUGAUGUUUUACUUUUGUAGAUCUGGAAUGGAAGAGGCGGUCAAACAAUAAUUCUAUUUAAUUUAAACACAUUGUUGUGCUUUGAAACUGAUAGGGCAGUGAAGAAUAGGAAUACCAAAAAAAGGACCAACACCUUUUGAAAGUAUAAAAAAAGAAAAGGCAGAACAUGAAAGUAAAGGGAAAGCAAGUAUCAGAUGUUGAUAUUUUGUAGCAACAUGAAUUCAUCACAAAAAAAGGUAUAUUUUAAAUGUUUUGGAAGAGGACACUAAUUUAGAUAGCAUGUUCUCCUCAGGCAUGCUGUUGCUGAGUCUUAAUGAGAACGGUUUGAUUUGGAUUUACAUUACAUCUUGGGAAUAACCGGCGCGCAGUCACCUCUGCUCCUUUGGUGUGUUGUUGUUGAGCUGCAACACAAACUACUAAAAAGACACAUUCUCAAUCCUAACUCAUCAGAUACUGAUGCUUGGCAUCACUAUUCACAACUUCACAACGCUCUGGGUCAGAAUCCCCUUGGUGUCUUUUUUUAACGUGCAAGGUAAGAUCACUUAGGGUUAAGAAACAUGGUGAGUGGGGUUACAAUGUGUACAUUUAAGUGACACACUGGACACGGGACAUAAACCCCAGUCUCCUGAUCCGUCCACCCCCACAACCUGCCUCCUUACGAGUCUUGGUCUUAAUAAUACACCCUAUCGUGGUCGCCCUUAAAGAUUAACUUUAUUAAAGAUUAACUUCUUCGUUUUUUUCAACCUGGACCCUAUUUUCCUAAGUUUUUGUGUCUAAGUGACUGAUAGGAACAACAAUCUUUGACAUUAGCAAAACAAGCUACAAUGUAAGUUAAUAGGACAAUUGUCCAGCUUGUAUUUACUUCACAAAAGUGCUCAUUUUGCCGCUGACAGGCUCAGAUUAAUAUUCUAAGUGUCUUUUUUAAAUGGAGUCUGCUGGGUUUAGGGCUAGCGACUUCAGAGCUGAAUCUGGUUAAACAGAAAGGUUUUAAAGAGAUUUUAAAGGUCUAUCGCUGAAGGCAUCUUUUCCAUAAUGUUAUCAGACACUCAUAAUAAUAACCUGAGCCAGUCUGCAGCAAAAUGAUCACUUCGUGGAGGUAAAUACAAGCUGGACACUUGCCCUAUUAACUUACAUUGUAGCUUGUUUCACCGCAGCCGACUGCAGCGGUCUCGCUUAAUACUGGACCAAUGUCAAAGAUUAUUGUUCCCAUCAGUCUCUUAGACAUAAAAACAUAGGAAAAUAGGGUCCAGGUUGAAAAAAAUGGUAGUUACCCUUUAAUAUUACGUCAUCUACAGCACCGUGGUUGAGCAGCUGAUCGGCCUGGUGCGUUCCAUACAGACGAUAAAGGGGGAUUUUUUGCGCCGGUACCUGACGCUGAGAGACACUUCAGUAUUUUACGAGUUGGGAGUGAGAAGAACUUCACUAAAAUGAUUCUACCUUUGUAAGAAAUCCAAUUUAUUUGUCCUACUCAGACUGCUGAAGCAUGAUAUUAAUUUUAGACUUUUGAAUACAUGUUUGCACAGAGUGAGGACUUUGGAUUUGGUCCCCCAUCACAUAAAUCGGAAGGUUAUUAGUAAGGGGUCUCAUCAUGGCCAGUAUUGACAGGAGGAAUGAGUACAGCAAACAUAACCUGUUUCAAUGUUCAUUUGGGCACCUGACUAUUGCUUUAAGACAGACUUGAAAAAUGUUGAGCCCUGUCCUUCAAUUGUUAGGUAAUAAAAUGUAAGCAUUUAAAUGCACUGAAUAGGGAACACAAAGUUCAGUAUUAGUAAUUUGUGUCCUGAAACAUUAAUAUUGGCCCUGUGGGGGCCUUUCAGUGGCCCUUAAACAGAAAGCUGCAUUCAUACCUACAACAAUGGCUUAAGUUACUGUGAGAAAAUUGCGAUCUUAAAUGUGAGGUGAUUCCUAGCUGGAGAAAUCCUGCCUGAACAACCCUUCUAACUUGCUCCCAAGUUGGAUCUGGUUACAAACACAUGUACACGUUCAGCAGAACACCUGACAGGACAAUGCAUCAGCAUCAUCAUGCAUCAGCUACAGAGAUAUCUCACAUGUAUUACUGUUUGUUUUAGGUGUGGCUGAGCCCUGAUGUCCUGAGCAGUAGUCUCGCUUUGUCAGACCUUCCUCCACAAUGCUGCAGAGCUACGGAGGAAGGUCUGCCUAUUCCAGACAGAAUUCAGGGAUGAGAGAAAAAACAUGCUCUGGUUUAUUGACAUUUCCUUAAACCAAUCAGAAUUGCCAUGGGCGGUGCUGAGCGCUGCAUGGAGCGAUGGGGCCGAUGGAAAAUAACCUUGGGAAGAAACUUGUUUUGGUGGAACGCGUGUACGUUCAAAAGUUCUUUUAGUCGAGCAACAGAAAACACAUAUUAGACAGAUAGUCUUUCUAAAUCCGCUGGAGUUUAGAACCCCAACACAUAGGAAGUGUAACGGACAUCUGGUUGGAAAAAAAGGACAUUUUUCAAUUUCAAAAAUUUAAAUUUCCAGCGGCAUCAGGGAGAUCCCGGCAUGAUACAGUGUAUCACUAUAGUUUACUCACCUGUGGCUUGCCUUGUUUGAAAGGGCAUGAAGUAAUAUGGUACCUUGCUUUGUUAAAAAUCUAUCAUGUAAGCCUACUUAAAGCACUUGGAAUGACUAAUACCAGUGUGAUAACCUUCUUGUUCUGUUAAACUGCAAGGCCAUUGGUCGAUAAAUUCCCAUGACAACAAUGUGUGAGUGACUGUAUAUUCUUGCUAUGUGAUUUAGACAGCAUGUUUUACCCAAACUGUAAUCAAGUAAAAAUAUUAGUUACAAUGUGUUUCUAAUCAUAGGGACAUUUCAAAAGUGCACUUAUUCAUUGUUUUAGUAAAUCAGCACUGUAUGAUUACAGUAAUCAAUAAGAUUUUUUAAAGCAAAUAAUAAUAUUCAAAUCCACUGAUUAUUGUGCAAGAUGGCACAGUGAGCUGACUGAACCCUGACCUGUUUGUAGGGACCACAUACUGUACCUGUAGUAGACUGAUAAGCACUCAAAAUCACAUGUCAUUUCCAACACAAGUGUGUACUUUGAAGAUGAAAAUUACGUUUUUAUGUACAGGAUCCUAUUUCUCUUGUCCCUCAUUAUAAAUUGGUUACGAUUUGUGGUUGACGAUAAAUGACAAAACAUUUCAGUGUUUCCUUUUAUUUUUGCAAUAUGUUUCAAGACAUCUGAGAUCAUUCUUUUCCAUAGCAUAUUGGUCACCACUUGCCUUAACAGAGAAGGUUUACUGUAUAUCAGAGAUAAAGGCUUAUAAAUACUUUUCCUAAUUUAAUCCUCCUCCACAUCUAAACUUUAGUGAAAGAAGGCUGAAUCAGAUCCAAGGUGUCAUCAUGCAAAGGGUGAUGACAUCCGAUAGGUAAAGGCCAGAGUGAAAUUUUAUAUAUUUCGUAAUUUUAUGUUAAAAACGAGUGCUAUUGGCUAGCAAAUGUAAAGGAUGUCUGAACUAUGCAUGUUGAAACAUUCUUCUGCUUCCUGUGGAUGUGCAAUAUUUAACACAACUGCAGCAUUUAAGUGUACUUGCUGUAUUUUAAAGUGCUCAUAUUAUGCUUUUUGGCUUUUUCCCUUUCCUUUAUUGUGUUAUAUAUCUUAUAGGUUGUACAAAGUGAUAAAGCCUAAAGUCCAUUCCAAAGGGACUUACCAUCUCCAACAGAAAGCACUGUUCACAAACUGCUCCAAACAGCUCUAUUGCAUACCUGCCAACACAUUCAUUUUUCCCGGGGUUCUCCCAUUUUUUAACCCUAUGUCCCGGACCCAUCCCGGUUUGUUAUUUCCCCCGGGAAACUCAUGUAAUUUGCAUGGCCCAAACUCCUUUAUAAAUAAUCGGACCAAGAUGUUUGACCAGUUGCCAGAUCUUGUAUUAAAACGCAUCCUAUUCACACAUUAGACACACCACAAUGUUCAACUAGUGGUUCACCUCAACCUGGCAACCUAUAACCCAGUUGCACAAUUGAUCUCUGCACAAGCUUUGCGGAAAGUUCAGACCCGCUGUCACUACCCGAUGUGAGUUGAGCGCAGAUGUUGCGCGUGCUCAUAUUUAAACGUUUACGUCAUUUGUGAAAUAAUAAACUUUUCUCAUUACAAACAAUAAUGGAAAUCAUUUAAAAGACGUUUUAGCUAUCUAUGAUUGUUUGAUUGCUAACGUUAGCUCAAAACGCCAUUCAGCUUGCAGCCUUUGUUGUGUUUGAUUGCUAACUUGUAGUCAGCAGUGAACAAACUUUGUAAAGUAGGUCCAUUUUUACUGUAUUGACAUUACAGAAGUCUCUCAUCAGCCACUUAUAGGCUACUUGUUGCAAAGUGACGCUUGCACGACUCACAUCUUCCCUCUACUCAGACCAGGUUGUGACACUCAAAAGCGGCAAAAAUGGCAAGUGAAGGCGCUGUUGCCGCAAAGAAAUCGAAAUAUAGCUGUACAUUUUAACAGUUUUGGGGGCGCAUCAGUUUACAUCAUUCCACGUUUUUUUGUAAGUUGUGUUGCUUUGGUUUAAAGCAAUGAAUUACCCAGCACAUUAAAAUACAGUGGCACUAUAAGAGAGGCACAUAAGGGCAAACAUUAACCACACCAGUUUGACUUCAAAGCCCACUCCGUCCUAGAGGGCACUGAGAGCAGCUAAAUCUGCCACAUACAACUACAACGCAAAAAAGUGAGCACAUAUUCAUGUUUACAAAACAUACUGAUGUUUACCAAAGAGAGACUUAGUUACGUAGUUAUUGAUAUUCAAGGAAUGAUUAAAAAAUUAUUAAAUACGUUUGUACGUAAGUGUUAAAAACUUGAAAAAUAUAAAGACAUAUUAAUAAAUUAAGUCAUGUUUUCAUUUAUAUUGCACUGUAAAUGAUACACUGAACACUUACAGUAUACUUAACAGUACUUCCCCACCACACACAGAAAUCUCCCGGAUUUUGAAAACCCAAUGUCGGCAGGUAUGCUCUUUUGUAGUCCUGCCUUAAUGUGACAAACAUGCGUCACUUUGUAACACAUGUUAUAAUGCUCACAUAGCUGCUAGCAUGGCACUCUCUCAUGCUCUGCAACUGACAAGCUGGCAGUACUGCACAUGUGCGACUCCCAACAAAGAUGGAACGCAAGUGAGAUGCCUCACUCUGUAGCUAAAUCCGAGAGCUCAACACACAGGGUGAAAAGAGGAGCUGCAGCAAUGUGUAGUACAACAAAAAAUAUGGUGUUAAUUGAAAAUUAAACCACAUAAAUCUAUUCUGGUACAACCUCUAAAUACAAUUAUGAACCUAAGAAUAAGCAUAAUAUGAGCACUUUAAGACAUGAUCAAACUGCAGAUUUGAAUCAUCCAAUCAGACUCGUGUCUAUUUUAAAGGUGCUGUAGGUAGGAUUGUGAAGAUCCAAGACUUAGCCAAAGAAUUUGAACAUCGACAACUUCUCAGUUCCUCCACCCUUUUUGCUAAAGCCCAAACGGUCUCCUAAGCCCCUCCUCCCACAAGAGAGAAUGAAUGCAUGUGCCUGAGUAGUCAGACACUCCCCCUG